rnacentral:tRNA from 1 species
GAGAGUCUAGCUUAAAUUGGUAAAGCUUUAAACUUUUAAUUUAAUGAAUUUAGGUUCGAAUCCUAAGACUCUUU